rnacentral:rRNA from 1 species
AUACGGAGGGUGCGAGCGUUAAUCGGAAUUACUGGGCGUAAAGCGCGCGUAGGCGGUUUGGUAAGUCAGAUGUGAAAGCCCCGGGCUCAACCUGGGAACUGCAUUUGAUACUGCCGGACUGGAGUAUGGUAGAGGGAAGUGGAAUUCCACAUGUAGCGGUGAAAUGCGUAGAUAUGUGGAGGAACACCAGUGGCGAAGGCGGCUUCCUGGACCAAUACUGACGCUGAGGUGCGAAAGCGUGGGGAGCAAACAGGAUUAGAAACCCCGGUAGUCC